CAGCCGCCGCGGUAAUACCGGCGGCCCGAGUGGCGGUCACUAUUAUUGGGCUUAAAGCGUCCGUAGCCGGGUUGGGAAGGCCUCCGGGAAAUCUGGCCGCUUAACGGUCCGAAUGCCGGAGGAUACUCCCAGCCUAGGGAGCGGGAGAGGCCGAGGGGAUUCCCGGAGUAGGGGGGAAAUCCUAUAAUCCCGGGAGGACCACCUGUGGCGAAGGCGCUCGGCUGGAACGCGUCCGACGGUGAGGGACGAAGGCCAGGGGAGCAAACCGGAUUAGAUACCCGGGUAGUCCUGGCUGUAAACGAUGCGGACUUUGUGUCGGACAAGCUAUGAGCUUGUCCGGUGCCGGAGGGAAACCGUUAAGUCCGCCGCCUGGGGAGUACGGCCGCAAGGCUGAAACUUAAAGGAAUUGGCGGG
rnacentral:rRNA from 1 species